rnacentral:lncRNA from 1 species
GAUCCAAAAUCGGAGAAAGUUACGGGGCUCGGGGGGCGCCCGCAACUUCAGCAGCAGCAGCAGCAGGUAGGGCCAGGGCCGGAGCCGCCAGGGCCGCCGCGCGGGUGCGGGGGGCCGCUAGCGCCCCGAGCCCCGUCACGCAACCUCCCUUUGCCGCCACGGCGGAACUCACGCUCUCUAGUAAUUGAACACCUUUACUUUCAAAUCGGAGACCGGGGAGAAGUGGUAAUAAAUUCCUUUCCUACCACAGCAAAAAAAAAAGUCAUUUUUCCUACGCUUAAAUCUGAAUUCUCACGACUGCCUAGAAGCGACGAGCCAGGCCGAGCCCGGGGCGACGCCCGAGCGGCGGGAGCCCGACCGAGCCCGGGGCCGACGCUGAGGGCGGACCCGCGCCCGGCGGGGAGCAGCUCGCGGCGGCGUGUUCAGGCCGCGGUAGAGACGCCGGCCAAGCCUCGCGGCGUCCGCGACCCCGGGAGCGGCCUGGCCUGCCGGACCGUUAGGACAGGCGGCGCCGCGGCCCUGGCGGCGAGGCCACCGGGCAGCACCGGGCGCCGCGACUUCUCGCCGCCACCUCAGCGGCUCCGGCGGAGCCCGGGAGCGGCAGUGGGGGAAGGGAGCGCGCCGGCGGCUUACCUCAGGAGCGGGCGGCUCCUUCCCGCCGCGAGAGUGGCCGGGGCGCUGCGCGGCGGUGGCGGGCGUCGCGGCUGCGGCAGGGGGAGAGAGAGAGAGAGAGAAGCGGCGGUGGAGCGAGCGCCGGGACUCCGGAGAGCAGAGGUGGAUCCUCUACCAGCUGAGCGACCAGGGAAGCCCAGUCCUGUGUCUAUGAAACAGCUAUUCACCUAUUUCUUCUGUCAAUGGUGAGCCACUGCUGCAGACCAGCUCUGACCCAGAGCCUCUGCCAAGCUUACACACUGUGGCCAGGCUGUGUCUUUCUGUGGUAGCCAUGUUCUCUUUCAAGACGUCUCAGGUCUCUGCUCAAUCCUUUGUUUAUACGUUUCUCACUCUUUCUUAGACUACAGACUGCUGCUGCUGCUAAGUCGCUUCAGUCAUGUCCUACUCCGUGCAACCCCAUAGAUGGCAGCCCAGCAGGCUCUGCUGUCCCUGGGACUCUGCAGGCAAGAAUACUGGAGUGGGUUGCCAUUUUCUUCUCCAAUGCAUGGAAGUGAAAAGUGAAAGUGAAGUCACUCAGUCAUGUCCAACUCUUCACAACCCCAUGGACUGCAGCCCACCAGGCUCCUCUGUCCAUGGGACUCUCCAGGCAAGAGUACUGGAGUGGGUUGCCAUUGCCUUCUCCUUGUACUUGCUACUUACGGAUAUUUGAGUUAUCCCUAGCCUUGUUAAUAGUUAACUACCUUUUAUUACUUAACAUUUCUUUAUUUUAAAUUUCCCUUGCUCUAAUUACUGGUAUGGUUUCUGUCUCCUAAUUGAACUCUGACUGCUAUUAGAAUUCAUAUCUGAGGUGGUCCCAGGAGACAGACCCAAAAAGAUGAAUUUGGGGAUUGGGUAAUAUGUUGAGCUUCUUGCCAAUGGGAAAUGGAAUGAAGUAAUUUAUGAUUAACUUCUCACCUAUGGUUAAUUAAAUGCCAAUUGAACAAGUGUUGUUGGAGUCCUUGCAGCUAUAUUUGACUAUCAUAGACUAUUCUGAGUACACUAGAGAGCUUACAGAAAGAAAAUGACAAUCUUAGGUUCUAUAACUCUUAGUUAAAAUCAUGGUCUUCGAACCACAGAACUAUGACAUCUUAAAAAGAAUCUCAGUUCUUGUCACUACAGAGCUGAUGCUGAAAAUCAAACAUAAAACUUAAUAUUGUGGGUUGCAGAAUUAUAGCAUUAGUUAAAUUCACAGCCUCACUAAGUAUCCCAUGUGAAAAUUAUAGUAUUGACCAGGACAUUAUGGAACCCUAAAACUUGAGAUGAGACCAUUUAGUUAGACUCAGAUAAAACUCAGAAUCUAAGCCUCCCUUAUGUCUGUAGACAUAGCUUUCUAUCUUUUGUCUGAGAUUACUAGUCUUCCUGUGCUAAUCUCACUUCAGACAUACACCUUGAAGGGGAAUGUUCUUUCUUCUCAAUACCCACCAUAAUCACUUCCUGUUUUCAUAAUACCUGUAACUGUGGUCAAAUUUCACCACAUUUCAAAGGGCCAAAACAAUUACAGGAGAUGACAACUUACACACCAAACUAAUCACAAGAUAUUAUGAAUAUAUUCCAGCAGAAACUGGGAAAUGUAUGUGGAAAUGUAUUCUAAAGGUGUUAGUCUAAAGAGGGAAGAAUAUAAAAAUGGGCUAAUUAAAUUAAUACGGGUGCACUUACUGGAGGUUUCAGGUUUCAAGUAUUAAUUCAUGCAACUGUAGUUGCUUCUAGUAAACUACCUUUUGGAUUUACUGAAACUUGGACUGAUUGGCGGCUGAUGACAAUGAGAUUGAGAUGUCUGAGCUUCCCUGCAUUAUGUGUUGAAGGGAACCCAAAGGUUUAGGGAGACAGGGAGCUUGGAGUAGACUUAUUAUGUGUGACCUGCACACCUACCAUUAAACUACAGUGCCUUUUACAGCUUGGCACAUUUCCAGGGGUACCUGUCUCCCAGUUUGAAUGCCCCUGGUGUAGAGAUUAUUUCAAGAGACUAACUCUGAAGGGAAGGAAUAAAGUAGUAACUCAAGAGGAAUACAGAGUUAAGAGAUUAAAAAAAAAAAAAAAGCCAACAGAUCUAAGUAUUUUAAAGAGGCAAGCAGAGGAACAGGGAGAGAAGAUGAAAAUCCAGGCAGGAGGUUAUGUAAAUACAUCACAGCAAUGUCUAAAACUGUGGCCCUGAAGAUCGUCUAUGAACAUGGCAAGGUCAUACCUCCAGGAAUUAAUCUGUUGUUUUCUGGUUUCUCCCCUUCCUUUCCAUACUCUCAUUGGUAUUGGAUAGCCAUAAGUUACCACUUAGUGAAGAGAAACAAAUGCUCCAGGAAGGAAGCUGUGGACACUUUACCUUCUAGGCCUUACGUGAGACUCUAGUUAGGGAAGACAGGGGAAAGAGUGCAAGAGGGGAAGAGGAAAACUAGGUUUGGAAAGAUGAGGAAAGGAGAGUUUCAGCCUGUGAAAGCAGACUGGAUACAGAGCAGUGUGCCACUGCCUCCUUCCCAGCGCUCCAACAUCCUCCCAGUCUUCUCUGCCUGUGGUCCGCUUACCCUGUAGUGUUCUUAUACCCUAGGGAGCCUCCUCCUCUGGACACCUUGUGAUGGUGGUAGAGGUGCUGUGUCUCCUUCCCAACGUAGGAUGAAAAGAACCAACGGAAAAUUUCUUUAUGCCCUGGGCUAGAGUGGAUAUUGAGCCCUGCUGUUUGUGUAGGUCAUAGCUAUGUUUCGGACAGUGUUAUGGUGGUUGUUGGACAGUUGCUAAGUUGUGUCCAACUCUUUGCAACCCCAUGAACUUCAGCACGCCAGGCUUCCCUGUCCUUCACUAUCUUCUGGAGUUUGCUCAAACUCAUGUCCAUUGAGUUGGUGAUGCCAUCCAACCAUCUCAUCUUGCCCUCAACCUUUCCCAACAUCAGGGUCUUUUCCAGUGAGUCAACCCUUCACAUCAAGUGGCCAAAGUAUUAGGCUAAUCUUUCACACAGAAACAAGUUACUUGUUUUUUGAGUUCCUAUCUGUAGGUUUUCAGUUUUUUGUUUGCUGUUGUUGUUAUGGACUGGAUGUUUGUGUCUCCUCCACCAUCAAAUUCCUAUGUUGAAACCUUACCCCUUGAUGUGAUGGUAUUAGAAGGUUGGGCUUUGGGAGGUAAGUAGAAUUAGAUAAGAUCAAGAGUGUGCAGCCCUCGUGAAUGGGAUAAGAGUCAUGAGAGAUCUUGCUUUCUCCCUUGGCUCUCUCCUGUGAGGGAACAGUGAGAAGUAACCAUCUGCAACCCAGAGGAGGGCUCUUUCCAAAACCAUGCUGAUAUCCUGACCUUAGACUUCCAGUCUCCAGAACUGCGAGAACUUAAUGUCUAUUGCUUAUUAGCUGCCCAGGCAAUGAUGUUCUAUUAUAGCUGCUGCUGCUGCUGCUGCUAAGUAGCUUCAGUCGUGUCCAACUCUGUGCAACCCCAUAGACUGCCUCCCAUCAGGCUCCCCCGUCCCUGGGAUUCUCCAGGCAAGAACACUGGAGUGGGUUGCCAUUUCCUUCUCAAAUGCAUGAAACUGAAAAGUGAAAGUGAAGUCGCUUAGUCAUGUCCAAUUCUUAGCAACCUCAUGGAUUGCAGCCUACCAGGCUCCUCCGUCCAUGGGAUUUUCCAGGCAAGAGUACUGGAAUGGGGUGCCCUUGCCUUCUGCGUCUGUUAUAGCAGCCUGCGCUAACAGAGACAUUUUAGAAGCAGUGAUUGUAUAAGCCUGGUGACUGGGCUCAGAAGGUAAAAGUUGAAACAGCUAACCUAUGAGAAUUAUGACUUUGGUCUCAUUGACACAUAACCAUGUAAUGGACUUACAAAAUAAACUUACAAAAAUUUGCAUAAAUCUUGGAGGUGAAUAGAGCUAUCAGUUAAGCAUACAGAUAUUUUAACAUAUGCAAAUACUUUUUUUGGAAUGUAUUACAUUUGAAGUAAGACUGAUGACCUAUAUAGAGACACACAAAAGCAACAGAAAACUUACAAAUAUACACAAAUGUAUGUGAAUUAUAUUUUUAUUAAAUUCCUUUAUUUUUAAUUGAAGGAUAAUAGCCUUACAAUAUUGCAUUGGUUUCUACCAAACAUCAGCAUGAAUCAGCCAUGGGUUUACAUAUGUCCCCUCCCACCUGAACAUCCCUCCCACCUUCCUUCCCAUCUCACAUCUAA